rnacentral:rRNA from 1 species
UCCACGCCGUAAACGAUGAGAGCUAGACGUCGGGCAGCAUGCUGUUCGGUGUCGCAGUUAACGCAUUAAGCUCUCCGCCUGGGGAGUACGGUCGCAAGAUUAAAACUCAAAGGAAUUGACGGGGGCCCGCACAAGCGGUGGAGCAUGUGGUUUAAUUCGACGCAACGCGCAGAACCUUACCAAUCCUUGACAUACUUGUCGCGACGCCAGAGAUGGUGUUUUUCAGUUAGGCU